GAUGAACGCUGGCGGCGUGCCUAAUACAUGCAAGUAGAACGCUGAAGGAAGGAGCUUGCUCUUUCCGGAUGAGUUGCGAACGGGUGAGUAACGCGUAGGUAACCUGCCUGGUAGCGGGGGAUAACUAUUGGAAACGAUAGCUAAUACCGCAUAACAGUAGAUGUUGCAUGAUAUCUACUUAAAAGGUGCAAUUGCACCACUACCAGAUGGACCUGCGUUGUAUUAGCUAGUUGGUGAGGUAACGGCUCACCAAGGCGACGAUACAUAGCCGACCUGAGAGGGUGAUCGGCCCCACUGGGACUGAGACACGGCCCAGACUCCUACGGGAGGCAGCAGUAGGGAAUCUUCGGCAAUGGACGGAAGUCUGACCGAGCAACGCCGCGUGAGUGAAGAAGGUUUUCGGAUCGUAAAGCUCUGUUGUAAGAGAAGAACGAGUGUGAGAGUGGAAAGUUCACACUGUGACGGUAGCUUACCAGAAAGGGACGGCUAACUACGUG
rnacentral:rRNA from 1 species